ACAUUUAUAUCUUCCUCUAUUAUGACCUUACACAACAAGUUGCUCAUUGCUGAUUUAAAUUUUUUGGUAUAUUAAAUGCAUGGCAGCUUUGUUAGUAUUUCUGUAACAUUCCAUAACUUUAUGUGUGUGGUUAUAUUUGAACACAUUUAACAGAUACUGAGGCCACAGGCUAGGGAGAUUUUCUUUCUAGAUCCCCUCUGUGGCAGCGGCUGGAGAGAUGAGAGUAGAGUCCAUCUAGUCAGGUUUUUAGGACACCUUCCAAGAUCCUUCCUGGACAGUGGUAGUUCUGUUUUAAACCACUUGUCCUUUGUUUGUUUUAUGAAUGGUUCUGUUUUUAUUUGAAUGCAUUAAGAUGUUCCAAACAAACAAAAACAAACAACAAAAGUGAGUGUUUGCGAGGGAUAGAAGUAAUUGUUACAUUAUUCUUAUUUAUUUUUACAUUAUUCUACGCAGAUGGAAACAGAACCAUAUGUUUUGUUUGUUUAAGCCCAUUACAAAAACGUUUGAUUUGAAGUUCCAGCCUCUUCCAACUUUGUUCCCAGUGUUGCUUUAAAAUGGUUUAUUGUACUUUUAUUUCCUCUUUGAGCACAUUGCUCACAUCUCCUGGGCCUUGGAGGCAGCUUGGUGUGAAUGAUGUUUAGGAAAACAUGCUGCAGAUUAGAAGAUGGUGGUGUCUUGUUCUCCUGCUAUCUGAAGAAGAGAGAUUGCAGCAAAGAAAAAGGCAACGAGAGCAGAAAAAUUACAGGUGAGAGGUCAUGUGAUAAAUUGGUAUAUAGUGAAACUAUUGCUCAAAGACUGAUCCCCCCCACUUAUUUCAGGAUGUGGCUGAAGUCCCCCUGAAAAUGUUUAGGCUUUCAGAAUCUGCCACUGAAGCAUCAGGAGAAUCCUUUGGUCAGGGAUGCAAUGGCGGCAGCCCGGUGGUGUGGGACCAGAACGUUCAAGGGAAAAUUUCCCUUCCCCAAGUUGUUACCAUGGCCAAGGAGCAACGCGUGAGGGCAGUGGAACUCCUGUGUGUCUGUGAUGGCCAGGAAGAAGAGGAGACCGCUGAUCUCAGAGAACCGUUCCUUUUUCUUUUUAGUCUGCAGGAAGACUAUGAGACAUUCUGUCAAGAAAUCAUUGACAGGAGAAACAUGAAGGUGUUUUGUGCUUUUGACAGAAAAGAAUAAAGUUGUGUUCAACGGUG